rnacentral:rRNA from 1 species
CAGUCGCCGCGGUAAUACGUAGGUCCCGAGCGUUGUCCGGAUUUAUUGGGCGUAAAGCGAGCGCAGGCGGUUUGAUAAGUCUGAAGUUAAAGGCUGUGGCUCAACCAUAGUUCGCUUUGGAAACUGCCAAACUUGAGUGCAGAAGGGGAGAGUGGAAUCCCAUGUGUAGCGGUGGAAUGCGUAGAUAUAUGGAGGAACACCGGUGGCGAAAGCGGCUCUCUGGUCUGUAACUGACGCUGAGGCUCGAAAGCGUGGGGAGCGAACAGGAUUAGAUACCCCCGUAGUCCCUGUCUCUUAUACC